GUCAAGCCUUCCUUUUCAACACUGUCUUAGCAUUGCUUUUGUCCAAAAGCCAUUACCCAUCCACCGGCUGCUUGGACACCUGAACAAAAUGAGCUGAUCCAUCCAACUGCUUGCACCUUGCUGGCUCUGAGAUGCUGCCCGCGGGGUAGCAGGAAAGGCAGACAGAUCCAGGAAAAACAAGAGUGUCUGUUGGCCACGGUACUGCUCUGCUUACAACUCAGGCCAAGUCAGAACUUCGUUUCACUGAAACUCGAACAAAUCUAUUAGAAAACUGUCAUUCCAACAGCUCUUUACUAAUGAGUCUUACCAACAUAUAGCAUGGAUUGUUGCCAAGGUUCUGUGGAUGGCAGGAAUAAAUUUCAAUGGAGUGCCUAGAGAACAGUCAUUGUGAUGCUGAAGAAAUCCCCACAGCAGAAGACUUCAAUUCCUGUUUCCCAGCAGAGGGAGAAGACCAAAUGGAACAGGAUGAAAGUUUUCUCUGCAUAGUACCAAGUAUAAGCAAUUGUUUCUGAGACUGCCCUGGCUUCGGUGCACAUGGCUGCUGGUCUUUGGAGCCAACAGACUCCUUAUAUUUCAUUGUCU
rnacentral:lncRNA from 1 species